GACGAACGCUGGCGGCGUGCUUAACACAUGCAAGUCGAACGGAAAGGCCCUGCUUUUGUUGGUUGCUCGAUUGGCGAACGGGUGAGUAACACGUGAGUAACCUGCCCUUGACUUUGGGAUAACUUCAGGAAACUGGGGCUAAUACCGGAUAUGAUCUCCUGCUGCAUGGUGGGCGUUGGAAAGUUUCGGCGGUUGGGGAUGGACUCGCGGCUUAUCAGCUUGUUGGUGGGGUAGUGGCUUACCAAGGCUUUGACGGGUAGCCGGCCUGAGAGGGUGACCGGCCACAUUGGGACUGAGAUACGGCCCAGACUCCUACGGGAGGCAGCAGUGGGGAAUAUGGCACAAUGGGCGGAAGCCUGAUGCAGCAACGCCGCGUGCGGGAUGACGGCCUUCGGGUUGUAAACCGCUUUCGCCUGUGACGAAGAGUGAGUGACGGUAAUGGGUAAAGAAGCAACGGCUAACUACGUG
rnacentral:rRNA from 1 species